rnacentral:rRNA from 1 species
GGCGAACGGGUGAGUAACACGUGACCAACCUGCCUCUUACAUUGGGACAACCAAAAGAAAUUCUGGCUAAUACCAAAUACUCCGCACAUAUCACAUGAUGUAUGCGGGAAAGCUUUUGCGGUAAGAGAUGGGGUCGCGGCCCAUUAGGUAGACGGCGGGGUAGAAGCCCACCGUGCCGAUGAUGGGUAGCCGGGUUGAGAGACCGACCGGCCACAUUGGGACUGAGAUACGGCCCAGACUCCUACGGGAGGCAGCAGUG